UUGUGUUAAGUCAAAGUCUUUAAUUUCUCUUAGAGUUUCUGUUUUGAGGUGCUUUUGUUUUGCAGUCUAGUAUUGUGUAAUCGGUUUAUUGCACCGUUAAUAGAUGAUUUUGAAGCGUUGGGAGAUGUGAAAGCGCACGACUCUCUGUAAUGUAUUUACUUUAGUAUAUAUAUAUAUACACUAGGGCUGAAACAAUUACUCGACAUUAUCGACAACGUCGACGAUAAAAAUAAAAUUUUCAGCAAAUGUUUUUGAGUAACGUUAGUGGUUUGAUCUCGUAUCUGCCUGAUUUGAAAGCCUGCAUUAAUGCAGUUUGACCAGUGUGGCGCUGUAGCGCAAGAUUGUAAUACACUCUCCUGAUUCAAUUAAAAAGAAGAAGAUAGCACUUCAGUUUGAGGCAAACCGACCCGAUCCGAACCUUGGAUGAAUAUGUUUGUGCAGAAUUUGAGACAUCCAGAAUUACCAUAGGCCCAUUAGAAUCAACAAUCUUUGCCAAACUUGAUUCGGACUGCAAAAUUUACGAAGAUGUUUUCAUACUGAAGAAGAGACCUUGGACAAAUACUGAAACCCUCUUGGUGCCCACUACACAGGCAGGGGUGUCCAGACCUGCUCUAGGAAAGCCAGUGUUCUGUGGGGUUCAGCUCUAACACACCUGCCUGGAACUUCAGACUAAUGAAAUUGAAGUAUCCAAAUGAAGACCCUAGCAGUAUGGAGUAUAUGGAUACAGACGUUGCCAGCAGUCAGGAGGUGAUCCAGAAGACUCAUGGGAAUCUAUUUGAAGCUGCAUCAUUGAAGACAGUCCAGCAGAAGUUGGAGUUUUAAAGGAUAAAGUUCUUCAGGACCUAUAGCAGUUUACAGUCUGUAAAACCAUGUUACUGGGACUGAUUUAUGGACUGAACUUGAGCAACCCUCCUGAACUCAGGUACACAUUUGGAAUACUGAAGAAGUUAUUUCUGGAGCCACUUCCUGUUCCUGGAAUAAGGUUUGAUUGGUUGCCCAUGAAUGCCAAUUAGAAUUGUAUUUGCUAUUUUGUGUAAUUUUGUAAUGUGGUUUAAACUGUAUUUUACUGUGUGUAAUUAUUUAUUGCUUGUUUAACAAAUACACUUUGAUCAUUUGUGA